UACAGAGGGUGCGAGCGUUAAUCGGAAUUACUGGGCGUAAAGCGUGCGUAGACGGUCAUGUAAGUCGGGUGUGAAAGCCCCGGGCUCAACCUGGGAAUUGCAUUCGAGACUGCAUGGCUAGGAUGCGGAAGAGGGAAGCGGAAUUUCCGGUGUAGCGGUGAAAUGCGUAGAGAUCCGGAGGAACCCCAGAGGCGAAGGCGGCGCCCUGGCUCGCAACUGACGCUCAGACACGACAGGCAUGGGGAGCGGAACGGG
rnacentral:rRNA from 1 species